UACGUAGGGUGCAAGCGUUGUCCGGAAUUAUUGGGCGUAAAGAGCUCGUAGGCGGUUUGUCGCGUCUGCUGUGAAAACCCGGGGCUCAACCCCGGGCCUGCAGUCGAUACGGGCAGACUAGAGUGCGGUAGGGGAGACUGGAAUUCCUGGUGUAGCGGUGAAAUGCGCAGAUAUCAGGAGGAACACCGGUGGCGAAGGCGGGUCUCUGGGCCGAUAUUGACGCUGAGGAGCGAAAGCGUGGGGAGCGAACAGG
rnacentral:rRNA from 1 species